GUCCUGUCCUCUGAUUUAACCUUCACAAUGGCCCUUGAGGAGGAGUUGGGGGAGUAAGCCUCACUUCACAAAGCCCUGGGAAAAGGGGUGAGGAAUUGAUUCUUGCUGGCGCUGAGAGAAACCUACAUGCUGUCUUGACUUUGGGCUGCAAAUGGGUGGGCGGCUCCAGAUGAAUAGAUACAGCUCUACUCUGGCACCUGGUCUCUUGGGGCCCAGCCAGGCCUGCUUUUGCAGAGGUUGUCCUUGGAAGGGAAAUAUUAACCCAGUUAAUUUUUCAUCAUGGCAGAAAGUGACAUCUGGUGAAAGGAGAUGAUUUGCACUGUGGAGAAGAGGCCACGGAGGUGUGCUGACAUGAGAUCACUGAGUGGCCAUGCUCGGACAGCCCAGGCAGUCUCAUGGACAGUCCUUGCUCUUAACUCAAUGAAGACAAAUGGCAUCACUAACUAGAAAUAAUCAUGCCAUGUUCAUCUGCUUUUUCAUUGACUAUAUUGUGACCGACCAUCUUUCUAUAUUAAUAAAUAUACAUUUACU